rnacentral:rRNA from 1 species
GAUGAACGCUGGCGGCGUGCCUAAUACAUGCAAGUCGAGCGAACGGACGAGAAGCUUGCUUCUCUGAUGUUAGCGGCGGACGGGUGAGUAACACGUGGAUAACCUACCUAUAAGACUGGGAUAACUUCGGGAAACCGGAGCUAAUACCGGAUAAUAUUUUGAACCGCAUGGUUCAAAAGUGAAAGACGGUCUUGCUGUCACUUAUAGAUGGAUCCGCGCUGCAUUAGCUAGUUGGUAAGGUAACGGCUUACCAAGGCAACGAUGCAUAGCCGACCUGAGAGGGGGAUCGGCCACACUGGAACUGAGACGCGGUCCAGACUCCUACGGGAGGCAGCAGUAGGGAAUCUUCCGCAAUGGGCGAAAGCCUGACGGAGCAACGCCGCGUGAGUGAUGAAGGUCUUCGGAUCGUAAAACUCUGUUAUUAGGGAAGAACAUAUGUGUAAGCAACUGUGCACAUCUUGACGGUACCUAAUCAGAAAGCCACGGCUAACUACGUG